UGGGUGCAGUAAUGCUGGUGUGAACAAACCUGCUGCGUGGCUGGCAUGACCAAAGGCCGCUGUAGGCGGUGAUCAUCCCCAAUCACGGCCCUCGACCGGAGCGCACUUCCCCGCAUCUGGAGCCAUCUGCAUCUGUCUCCUUUGCAGUCUGCCGGUAAUUGGGUCUGAAAUCACACGCGUCCCACUCAGCUACAUUUACAUUUCCUUCUUGCGCUGUUUUUAUAUCCAGAGCUGUUGAAACCACUCCUAGGAUGAAUUUCUAAACUUAGACCAUCUCAUCCUCAAACGGCAAGAAAGAAAGUGUGAUGUGUCUGUGAAUCUGCUGAAUGGGCCGAGGGGUGUUUUUAAAAGAUCAUAUUGCGGGGAAGAAGCAGGCACUGCAGAAACCUAUGGAUUGGGGUGCUAAAACCUACGAGCUUCCCGGGAAGCUGCCUUUUGGGAGCCCGAACUAUCCCAGAACCUUUUCCUAGUAGCAGAUCACAAUCACCGUCUCUUCUGUGAGCCCGCUUCAAGCCAGCAAUGAAAGGACACUUCUGCACGCCAGCAGCAGGAGUAGGAAACCCCACUCUCCCUACAACAUAAGGGCUACACAUUUGAGAUCCUCUCAGAGGACUUUUUAAAAAAAUAACAUCUUUCAUUUAUGCUUGAGCAGGGAGAAGAGUCAUUAAAAAGAAGAGAUUUUUAAAAUCCCUGUCCAAUGCUUUUGGCCAGCCAGCCGCUCAGGACAAAGGGCUGCCUGGUUUGGGGACCUAAUUAUCUGGAGGCCAAGGCGCGGCUGCGGGUGAUGGGGCUGCCGAUUCCGCAGCGAGCACAGUCCGCCUCAUUGUUGGUGAAUUUCCUGCUCUUGGCACUUUCUUUGGCAGCCUCAUGGCCAGCACCUGUGCACUCAGACCUGGGGCCUGGGACGUCUACACAGAUGUCACGGCGCUUUUGUUGAUUUCCUAUUAGUGGCACUUAAUAGGCAGGCGCUGGGGACA
rnacentral:lncRNA from 1 species